rnacentral:rRNA from 1 species
GACGAACGCUGGCGGCGUGCUUAACGCAUGCAAGUCGAACGGAAAGGCCCUGCUUUUGUGGGGUGCUCGAGUGGCGAACGGGUGAGUAACACGUGAGUAACCUGCCCUUGACUUUGGGAUAACUUCAGGAAACUGGGGCUAAUACCGGAUAGGAGCUCCUGCUGCAUGGUGGGGGUUGGAAAGUUUCGGCGGUUGGGGAUGGACUCGCGGCUUAUCAGCUUGUUGGUGGGGUAGUGGCUUACCAAGGCUUUGACGGGUAGCCGGCCUGAGAGGGUGACCGGCCACAUUGGGACUGAGAUACGGCCCAGACUCCUACGGGAGGCAGCAGUGGGGAAUAUUGCACAAUGGGCGGAAGCCUGAUGCGGCAACGCCGCGUGCGGGAUGACGGCCUUCGGGUUGUAAACCGCUUUCGCCUGUGACGAAGCGUGAGUGACGGUAAUGGGUAAAGAAGCACCGGCUAACUACGUG